ACAGGAGACGGACCAGUCAACAAAGAAGACGCCAGAGGCAUCUUCAGUCAACCGACAGUGAUGGCCCCAACCAUCAUCAGCUUUUGCUUUCCGUAAAGCAAAAGUCUUUUACUUUAGUAAAUGUAAAAGUAAAAGUAAAAGAAUAACUUUUGCUUUUACUUAAGUUAAAUGUUUUUAACUUAGUUAAAUGUUUCUUACAUUUACCAAUGUAAAAGUAAAUGUAAAAUGUUUCUUACGUUUUACUUUUACUUAAGUAAAUUACUUUUACUUCAGUUAAU
rnacentral:lncRNA from 1 species